UACAGAGGGGGCAAUCGUUGUUCGGAAUUACUGGGCGUAAAGGGCGCGUAGGCGGCCUGUUAAGUCGAACGUGAAAUCCCCGGGCUCAACCCGGGAACUGCGUCCGAUACUGGCAGGCUUGAAUCCGGGAGAGGGAUGCGGAAUUCCAGGUGUAGCGGUGAAAUGCGUAGAUAUCUGGAGGAACACCGGUGGCGAAGGCGGCAUCCUGGACCGGCAUUGACGCUGAGGCGCGAAAGCCAGGGGAGCAAACGGG
rnacentral:rRNA from 1 species